rnacentral:rRNA from 1 species
CACGUAGGGGGCAAGCGUUGUCCGGAUUUAUUGGGCGUAAAGAGCGUGUAGGCGGCCAUGUAGGUCCGUUGUGAAAACUCGAGGCUCAACCUCGAGACGCCGAUGGAAACCAUGUGGCUAGAGUCCGGAAGAGGAGAGUGGAAUUCCUGGUGUAGCGGUGAAAUGCGCAGAUAUCAGGAGGAACACCGGUGGCGAAGGCGGGCUCUGGGCCGAAAUUGACGCUGAGGAGCGAAAGCGUGGGGAGCAAACAGG